GGGGUUGUAGCUCAGUGGUAGAGUGCUUGCCUAACAAGUAUGAGGCACUAGGUUUGAUCCUCAGCACCA
rnacentral:tRNA from 1 species